UCAAUUUCCCUUUCAGUUCCUCAGUUUGGACCGAGCCAUUCUGGGUGACUCGCCUAGAGAAUGUUCCUGGAAUGAGCACUAGGAGGUGGAGCAGGAAGACAUGCAGAGUUCUCGCUACCCCGUGCACCCCCAGUUUCCCAUUUCCAGGGGGUGGGGGCUCCAGGCCACAUCCUGGAGUCAUCUCCCUCCCCCUGUAGCUCUUCUCUCCGUGUAUGCCACCAGGGCUGGAGUCCUGGGUAUGUGGGACACUGCUAGCCUAGACGGCUACAGAUCUGAAUUCCAGAGAACUGUAUUUUUUGCUCGCGGGGAAGGGGAAGCGCUGCUAGCGUGGCCGGAGGGCAAAAGAGUAGUGCAAGGGAGGCUAGGAUGGGAGGGUGGGCCAGGGAGCAGGAAGACGGAAGGCCUGCGUUCCGGAAAGAGGAUAGGGUAGGGGGGCGGAGAGCCAAGAGCACCGGAGCCGGGAAGCCAAAGCCUGGGUCCCAGAGAGCAAAACUCGAGCCCACCUGGCUUCCCCCACCUCAUCCCCGCCUCCAGGUGGGCAGGACGACAAACCGAGGCAGGACGUCCACGCCUCGCACCCGGAACGAUCCCCUCCCACACACCGGCCUCCCCGCAGGCCGCCGCUCCACUCUGGGCUGCACGUGGACGGAGGGUCUCGGAGACAGGCGACCCCCGCCGCCUCCGUCCGCCAGCAGGCCCCCGAGCCCCCGUUCCUCGCGCGAGUUCCCUGCGGCAGUGAUUCGGACCCCUGAAAUCGCGACCCGCGCGCUGCCCCUGGCUCCGGACGGUCCCGCCGCCCCCUAGUCACCUCCCUCUCGCCCUACAAAUGCGCCCACUCCCCGCCGCUUCUCCCAAAAACCAUUUCCAGCUGCUCUUCCUUCCGAGGCCGGCUCGCCCACCCGCCCAGGUGGAUUCUUUACCAGCUGAGCCACAAGAGAAGCCCAAGAAUACUGGAGUGGGUAGCCUAUCCCUUCUCCAGCGGAUCUUCCCAACCCAGGAAUUGAGAACCGGGAUCUCCUUUACCAACUGAGCUAUGAGGGAAGCCCAUGGAGUUCGACAAAUUGGAGAGAUACCUGUAACGGGCCAAUCAAUUGAAGCUGUGAACUCAUCUAAGUAGAGAAGGAAGAAGAAUCAAAGAUGAGCCUGAAGGAUUAGUGAUGCCAUUUGUAUACAUGGAAAAAUAGAAGAGAUGCAGUGGAAAAAGCAGGAGGACUAGAAGAGGAGCCUGAAGAUGUGACUGAAUUGCUAUAAUCUCAUGAUAAAGCUAAUGGAUGAAGAGUCUUUUAUUCCAGGUGAGCAAAGAAAGUAGUUUCUUGAGAUAGAAUUUACUCCUGGUGCUGUUGCCGAGAAGAAGGCUGAAGUGACAAGGAAGGAGUGACAGUAUUACAUAAUCUUAGUUGAUAAAGCUAUGGCAAGGUUAGAGGGCAUUGCCUCUCAUUUUGAAAGAAGUUCUGCUAUAAGGAAAGUGCUAUCAAACGGCAUUGCAUGCUACGGAGAAACUGUGAAAGGCAGAGUCAAUCAAUGCAGUCGAUCAUUGUUGUCCUAUUUUAAGAAAUUGUCACAGCUGUCGCAGCCUUUAGCAGCCACCACCCUGAUUAGUUAGCAGUCAUCAACAUCAAGGCAAGACCUUCCACCAGCAAAGAGAUUAAAAUUAUGAUGGCUAGUAUUUCUUAGCAAUAAAGUAUUUAUAAAGUCCA